GGGCCGGGAUUAUAGACAUUAGACGUCGUUGCCGGGGGAGCCCUCCAAACAUCCAGAAAUGCCACGGCCAGGACCGAGUGACGCAGCAGAAUCGCCCAAGGGGCAGGGGGGCAGCCUGGCCAGAAGAAAAUGAGGGAGGGGCCGCGCGUGAGGUUCGGCAGGGGAGAACACAGGCCUCCGGCGGCCACGGACGCCGCUUUGCCAUUUUGAGCGUUUCUGGGGAGGACAACGCGCGCAGGAAGCGCAGUCAUCUCAAGCUGACUUCCAAGGCUACCGGGUUCGAGGGCUGGAGCCGGGUCUGAAAGCCCCGACCCGCCUAUGGCGCGGGGACCGUGGGUCCAGCCGGCCGCUUGGCCCCCUCGCUCGGCCCCGGUCCAGGCGCAGCGCUUGGGCCCCGGGGACGGUGAGAUGCGGCGCGGCCAGCUUAGCUCGGGGUAGAGGCCACCCCAGCCUCGCCCCAGCCGGCCGGGUCCGCGACCUCGGGAGGGUCCGGUCCUUCCCUCGGUCCCCGCGACGCCGCGCCCGGAUGAGGCCCUGGGCUUCUUGCCGGUGACCAAGCGGCCAGGGUGGCCCCCAGCCCAGGACGGCUACCAAGGGCGGCCCAGCCCCAUCCCCGCGCCGCGGGUCCCGGAACCGAAGAGCUGGGAGCGGGGGCUCCCUGACAACAUGGCGGCGGCGCCCGGGCGCCUCCCCGGGUCCCGGGUGUCUGCGUCUCCCCGCGAGGGCGUGGGCAAAGCCGGUGCCGUCCGACGAUAGGAAGCGAAAGGAACCCAGGACCAGACCCGCGGGGCGAACAGUGCUGGAGGACCAUGCACCGACCACGCCCGAAGCAGAACCAAGGCCCGCCCUGUUGCCGUGCCGACUGCGCGCGGGGUGGACGCAGGCGCCGCAAGCCGGGAGCUCUCAGUGCAGGCGCAGUAGGCUGCGGGGUUGAGACGCAUUGCGUGCGCGUGCGCGCUGCUCACACGCGGACGGUUCUGUGCGCCGCAAUGGCCGCCCGCGAGUAUCGGAGAGGCGGAGCUCUCAGUCUUUUUCAGGACCGGGUCUCCUGAUGCCGCCGGUGGUUCCUCGAGGCCCCCUUCCACGCAUCCGCCGCCGCUGCUUCAUCAGGACUUCAUUUCGGUGACGCAGAGCUUUGGCGAGAGCUACGGCAACAGCAAGAACUGCCGGCGGCUCUUGUGCUGCAGGGUGAGGACCGCGCCGGGUUGACCGAGGCCCGGGGUCGCUGCGCCCGCCGCCCUCCCAGCCUGCGGCUCCGAGCGGGGCCUGGGCGGGCAGACUCGACUCCCCCGACGCCGCCCUCUCCACCCUUACCCCGCAAAAAGGGGCAAAUCUGCUUUCCGGGCCGGGGCAGCCGUGGUCGGCACGCCUGCAGCCGUCUCAGCGGCCCAAAUUCUGCGGGGCGGUGGUGGUGGGAGGAAGGAUUGGAGCCCCAGCAGGUUGUCUGGGCUUCGUUUGCUUUUCGGCAAGGUCCUGGCCCAGGCCCCAGUCCCUCUUGGAGCGGAAACCUCUGGACCUGUUGCUCCUAAGAAAGCAAGCGGCCCCUGACGCGUUGCUGUGGCCUGGUUUGACCCUCGUAGCCAGCCCAUGUUCUGUGAGGCAUGAAGCGCCACGCAGACACCACGACAAAGUCUCGCUUAGUGGCCCAGGCUGGAGCGCAGUGGCGAUCACGGCCCACUGCGGCCUCGACCUCCUGGGCUCCAGCGUGCGUCUAAUCUAGAACCAAAUCCUCCUUCCUUAGAUCAUCCCCCAAAUCACCCAACUACAGGUGAAAUCCUGUAAUAGUUUCCUCCGAACACCCUGUUGCUGAGACACCUCAACGUUUCAACCUGGUGUGUUUGUACACACAGCGUAGAGUAAAAGACCCAACUUGUUUAACUA